rnacentral:rRNA from 2 species
UUAAGUGACUAAGCGUACACGGUGGAUGCCUAGGCAGUCAGAGGCGAUGAAGGGCGUGCUAAUCUGCGAAAAGCGUCGGUAAGGUGAUAUGAACCGUUACAACCGGCGAUACCCGAAUGGGGAAACCCAGUGUGUUUCGACACACUAUCAUGUCAUGAAUACAUAGUGGCAUGAGGCGAACCGGGGGAACUGAAACAUCUAAGUACCCCGAGGAAAAGAAAUCAACCGAGAUUCCCCCAGUAGCGGCGAGCGAACGGGGAGGAGCCCAGAACCUGAAUCGGCUUGUGUGUUAGUGGAAGCGUCUGGAAAGUCGCGCAGCAAAGGGUGAUAGCCCCGUACACUAAAAUGCACAGGUCGUGAGUUCGAUGAGUAGGGCGGGACACGUGACAUCCUGUCUGAAUAUGGGGGGACCAUCCUCCAAGGCUAAAUACUCCUGACUGACCGAUAGUGAACCAGUACCGUGAGGGAAAGGCGAAAAGAACCCCGGCGAGGGGAGUGAAAUAGAACCUGAAACCGUGUACGUACAAGCAGUGGGAGCACCUUCGUGGUGUGACUGCGUACCUUUUGUAUAAUGGGUCAGCGACUUAUAUUUUGUAGCAAGGUUAACCGUAUAGGGGAGCCGUAGGGAAACCGAGUCUUAACUGGGCGAAUAGUUGCAAGGUAUAGACCCGAAACCCGGUGAUCUAGCCAUGGGCAGGUUGAAGGUUGGGUAACACUAACUGGAGGACCGAACCGACUAAUGUUGAAAAAUUAGCGGAUGACUUGUGGCUGGGGGUGAAAGGCCAAUCAAACCGGGAGAUAGCUGGUUCUCCCCGAAAGCUAUUUAGGUAGCGCCUCGUGAACUCAUCUUCGGGGGUAGAGCACUGUUUCGGCUAGGGGGCCAUCCCGGCUUACCAAACCGAUGCAAACUCCGAAUACCGAAGAAUGUUAUCACGGGAGACACACGGCGGGUGCUAACGUCCGUCGUGAAGAGGGAAACAACCCAGACCGCCAGCUAAGGUCCCAAAGUCAUGGUUAAGUGGGAAACGAUGUGGGAAGGCAUAGACAGCCAGGAUGUUGGCUUAGAAGCAGCCAUCAUUUAAAGAAAGCGUAAUAGCUCACUGGUCGAGUCGGCCUGCGCGGAAGAUGUAACGGGGCUAAACCAUGCACCGAAGCUGCGGCAGCGACGCUUAGGCGUUGUUGGGUAGGGGAGCGUUCUGUAAGCCGUUGAAGGUGGCCUGUGAGGGUUGCUGGAGGUAUCAGAAGUGCGAAUGCUGACAUAAGUAACGAUAAAGCGGGUGAAAAGCCCGCUCGCCGGAAGACCAAGGGUUCCUGUCCAACGUUAAUCGGGGCAGGGUGAGUCGACCCCUAAGGCGAGGCUGAAAAGCGUAGUCGAUGGGAAACAGGUUAAUAUUCCUGUACUUGGUGUUACUGCGAAGGGGGGACGGAGAAGGCUAGGCUAGCCGGGCGACGGUUGUCCCGGUUUAAGCGUGUAGGGGGUGUGACCUGGUAAAUCCGGUUACAUAUCAACCCUGAGGCGUGAUGACGAUGCACUACGGUGCAGAAGUAGUUGAUGCCCUGCUUCCAGGAAAAGCCUCUAAGCUCCAGGUAACAUUGAAUCGUACCCCAAACCGACACAGGUGGUCAGGUAGAGAAUACCAAGGCGCUUGAGAGAACUCGGGUGAAGGAACUAGGCAAAAUGGUGCCGUAACUUCGGGAGAAGGCACGCUGGCAUGUAGGUGAAGUCCCUUGCGGAUGGAGCUGAAGCCAGUCGAAGAUACCAGCUGGCUGCAACUGUUUAAUAAAAACACAGCACUGUGCAAACACGAAAGUGGACGUAUACGGUGUGACGCCUGCCCGGUGCUGGAAGGUUAAUUGAUGGGGUCAGCCGCAAGGCGAAGCUCUUGAUCGAAGCCCCAGUAAACGGCGGCCGUAACUAUAACGGUCCUAAGGUAGCGAAAUUCCUUGUCGGGUAAGUUCCGACCUGCACGAAUGGCGUAAUGAUGGCCAGGCUGUCUCCACCCGAGACUCAGUGAAAUUGAACUCGCUGUGAAGAUGCAGUGUACCCGCGGCAAGACGGAAAGACCCCGUGAACCUUUACUAUAGCUUGACACUGAACAUUGAGCCUUGAUGUGUAGGAUAGGUGGGAGGCUUUGAAGCGUGGACGCCAGUCUGCGUGGAGCCAUCCUUGAAAUACCACCCUUUAAUGUUUGAUGUUCUAACUCGGCCCCAUAAUCUGGGGUGAGGACAGUGUCUGGUGGGUAGUUUGACUGGGGCGGUCUCCUCCCAAAGAGUAACGGAGGAGCACGAAGGUUAGCUAAUCACGGUCGGACAUCGUGAGGUUAGUGCAAAGGCAUAAGCUAGCUUGACUGCGAGAGUGACGGCUCGAGCAGGUACGAAAGUAGGUCUUAGUGAUCCGGUGGUUCUGAAUGGAAGGGCCAUCGCUCAACGGAUAAAAGGUACUCCGGGGAUAACAGGCUGAUACCGCCCAAGAGUUCAUAUCGACGGCGGUGUUUGGCACCUCGAUGUCGGCUCAUCACAUCCUGGGGCUGAAGUAGGUCCCAAGGGUAUGGCUGUUCGCCAUUUAAAGUGGUACGCGAGCUGGGUUUAGAACGUCGUGAGACAGUUCGGUCCCUAUCUGCCGUGGGCGUUGGAAGAUUGAGAGGGGUUGCUCCUAGUACGAGAGGACCGGAGUGAACGCACCACUGGUGUUCGGGUUGUCAUGCCAAUGGCAUUGCCCGGUAGCUAAGUGCGGAAAAGAUAAGCGCUGAAAGCAUCUAAGCGCGAAACUUGCCUCAAGAUGAGUCUUCCCUGGGCCUUUAAGGCCCCUGAAGGAACGUUUAAGACUAAGACGUUGAUAGGCUGGGUGUGUAAGUGCAGCGAUGCAUUGAGCUAACCAGUACUAAUGAUCCGUGAGGCUUAACCUU